GAUAAAUGGAUUUUGCUUGCUCCAUACAUAAACCAUCAUAAAAGUCAAUGAAUUGCUCAGGAAUAUGAUCCUUGCAAAUGACUCUGAGACAUAAGGUAUCAUCCCCCCGACAAGAACAAUUCCUGUUAAAACAGUGGCACCAAACAAGAGCAUGUAGAAGAAAUCUGCCGUCCUUCCCCUGAAGGAGUUCUCUUCUAGAAGCUUGCAGUACCGAGCUAGGAAAAACAUGUGAAACAGAAAGUCCAAGUCCAUCUUCCGAAAGUAGAGAAAAUUUGUAACCAGGCGCCACACCUGGUAUUGCUUCACCACUAACUUGGGGUUCAGGUACAAGUUAUAAGGAGAUAUAAUCUCCAGAGAACAACCGAUUGUGGUGAGGAUUGCGGCAGUGAGGUAGGAACGGGUGAUAAUCGGCAUCUGCUUGUACCAUUCUUCCACAGCUUGUGCCAUUCCGCUUAAUCAAACUUUCCCCAAAACAAAACUUCCCAGAAAUCCCUAACAACCCGACUGAUAAAGCCUCUAGGUUAUCUGAAAAUUGAUCAAUUCGAGGAUUUCUAAUAUAUAUAUAUAUAUACACACUCACGUGUAUAUAAUAUGUAUGUAUGUAUAUAUAUGUGAUCGGAUUUUA
rnacentral:misc_RNA from 1 species